GACGAACGCUGGCGGCGUGCCUAAUACAUGCAAGUUGAGCGCUGAAGGUUGGUACUUGUACCAACUGGUUGAGCAGCGAACGGGUGAGUAACGCGUGGGGAAUCUGCCUUUGAGCGGGGGACAACAUCUGGAAACGAAUGCUAAUACCGCAUAAAAACUUUAAACACAAGUUUUAAGUUUGAAAGAUGCAAUUGCAUCACUCAAAGAUGAUCCCGCGUUGUAUUAGCUAGUUGGUGAGGUAAAGGCUCACCAAGGCGAUGAUACAUAGCCGACCUGAGAGGGUGAUCGGCCACAUUGGGACUGAGACACGGCCCAAACUCCUACGGGAGGCAGCAGUAGGGAAUCUUCGGCAAUGGACGAAAGUCUGACCGAGCAACGCCGCGUGAGUGAAGAAGGUUGUCGGAUCGUAAAACUCUGUUGGUAGAGAAGAACGUUGGUGAGAGUGGAAAGCUCAUCAAGUGACGGUAACUACCCAGAAAGGGACGGCUAACUACGUG
rnacentral:rRNA from 1 species